rnacentral:rRNA from 1 species
CAAAUGAAGUUGACGGGGGCCCGCACAAGCGGUGGAGCAUGUGGUUAAUUCGACGCAACGCGAAGAACCUUACCAGGGCUUGACAUCCCCUGACCGCGUAUGAAAGUACGUUUUCACCCUCGGGUGACAGGGAGACAGGUGGUGCAUGGUUGUCGUCAGCUCGUGUCGUGAGAUGUUGGGUUAAGUCCCGCAACGAGCGCAACCCCUACGUUUAGUUGCUAACGCGUGAAGGCGAGCACUCUAGACGAACUGCCGUUGACAAAACGGAGGAAGGUGGGAUGACGUCAAAUCAUCAUGCCCCUUAUGUUCUGGGCUACACACGUGCUACAAUGGCCGGUACAGACGGACGCAAAGCCGCGAGGUGGAGCAAAUCCUAAAAAGCCGGUCUCAGUUCGGAUUGCAGGCUGCAAUUCGCCUGCAUGAAGUCGGAAUCGCUAGUAAUCGCAGGUCAGCAUACUGCGGUGAAUACGUUCUCGGGCCUU